rnacentral:rRNA from 1 species
GACGGGGGAUGCAAGUGUUAUCCGGAAUCACUGGGCGUAAAGCGUCUGCAGGUGGUUUCCUAAGUCCACUGUUAAAUCUUGAGGCUCAACCUCAAAUCUGCAUUGGAAACUAGGAGACUUGAGUAUAGUAGGGGUAGAGGGAAUUUCCAGUGGAGCGGUGAAAUGCGUAGAUAUUGGAAAGAACACCGAUGGCGAAGGCACUCUACUGGGCUAUUACUGACACUCAGAGACGAAAGCUAGGGGAGCAAAUGGG